AGCGGAGUCUUCGGAACUAGCGGCGAAUGGGUGAGUAACACGUACUUAACGUACCUUUUAAAUUGGGAUAACGAUGAGAAAUUAUCGCUAAUACCGGAUACUUAUAAGGAAGGCAUCUUCCUUAUAUAAAAGGAGCCUUUAAAGCUUCACUAAAAGAUCGGGGUGCGCAACAUUAGCUAGUUGGUGAGGUAAUGGCCCACCAAGGCUAUGAUGUUUAGCGGGGUUGAGAGACUGAACCGCCACACUGGGACUGAGAUACGGCCCAGACUCCUACGGGAGGCAGCAGUAGGGAAUUUUCCACAAUGGGCGAAAGCCUGAUGGAGCGACACAGCGUGCAGGAUGAAGGCCUUCGGGUUGUAAACUGCUGUUAUUUAGGAUGAAAAAAUAGUAGAGGAAAUGCUAUUAUCUUGACAGUACUAAAUCAGAAAGCAACGGCUAACUAUGUGCCAGCAGCCGCGGUAAUACAUAGGUUGCAAGCGUUAUCCGGAAUUAUUGGGCGUAAAGCGUCUGUAGGUUGUUUGUUAAGUCUGGCGUCAAAACUUGGGGCUCAACCCCAAAUCGCGUUGGAUACUGGCAGACUAGAAUUGUGUAGAGGUUAACGGAAUUCCUUGUGAAGCGGUGAAAUGCGUAGAUAUAAGGAAGAACAUCAACAUGGCGAAGGCAGUUAACUGGGCACAUAUUGACACUGAGAGACGAAAGCGUGGGGAGCAAACAGGAUUAGAUACCCUGGUAGUCCACGCCGUAAACGAUGAUGAUUAGCUGAUGGGAACCAUCGGCGCAGCUAACGCAUUAAAUCAUCCGCCUGAGUAGUAUGCUCGCAAGAGUGAAACUUAAAGGAAUUGACGGGGAUCCGCACAAGCGGUGGAGCAUGUGGUUUAAUUUGAAGAUACGCGUAGAACCUUACCCACUCUUGACAUCU
rnacentral:rRNA from 1 species